rnacentral:rRNA from 1 species
AUUGAACGCUGGCGGCAUGCCUUACACAUGCAAGUCGAACGGUAACGCGGGGGCAACCCUGGCGACGAGUGGCGAACGGGUGAGUAAUACAUCGGAACGUGUCCUGUUGUGGGGGGAUAACCCAUCGAAAGGUGAGCUAAUACCGCAUGAUCUGGAGACAGCAAAGCAGGGGACCGGUAACGGCCUUGCGCGAUUGGAGCGGCCGAUGUCCGAUUAGCUAGUUGGUGGGGUAAAGGCCCACCAAGGCAACGAUCGGUAGCUGGUCUGAGAGGAUGAUCAGCCACACUGGGACUGAGACACGGCCCAGACUCCGUACGGGAGGCAGCAGGUGGGGUAAUUUUGGACAAGUGGGGGCAACCCUGAUCCAGCCAUGCCGCGUGAGUGAAGAAGGCCU